rnacentral:rRNA from 1 species
GUGGGGAAUCUUGCGCAAUGGGCGAAAGCCUGACGCAGCGACGCCGCGUGGGGGAUGAAUGCCUUCGGGUUGUAAACCCCUUUCGGCAGGGACGAAGCGAACGUGACGGUACCUGCAGAAGAAGUCCCGGCUAACUACGUGCCAGCAGCCGCGGUAAGACGUAGGGGACGAGCGUUGUCCGGAUUUAUUGGGCGUAAAGAGCGCGUAGGCGGCUUGGUAAGUCGGAUGUGAAAUCCCGGGGCUCAACCCCGUGACUGCACCCGAAACUGCCCGGCUAGAGGUAGGUAGGGGAGAUCGGAAUUCCUGGUGUAGCGGUGAAAUGCGCAGAUAUCAGGAGGAACACCGGUGGCGAAGGCGGAUCUCUGGGCCUUACCUGACGCUCAGGCGCGAAAGCUAGGGGAGCAAACAGGAUUAGAUACCCCAGUAGUCC